AAUUCAUGAUGUGGGCAUCUUUUGAUGUUUUAAAAUACUCCCAAGCUUCGUAAAAACUUUCUCCUUCUAAUUGUUUAAAUGUUGCGACCUCCCCCCUUAGUU
rfam:Gossypium raimondii Chr02_contig_603, whole genome shotgun sequence.